rnacentral:rRNA from 1 species
UACAGAGGGUGCAAGCGUUAAUCGGAAUUACUGGGCGUAAAGCGUGCGUAGACGGUCAUGUAAGUCGGGUGUGAAAGCCCCGGGCUCAACCUGGGAAUUGCAUUCGAGACUGCAUGGCUAGGAUGCGGAAGAGGGAAGCGGAAUUUCCGGUGUAGCGGUGAAAUGCGUAGAUAUCGGAAGGAACACCAGUGGCGAAGGCAGCCCCCUGGGCUGAGAUUGACGCUCAGGCACGAAAGCGUGGGGAGCAAACAGG